rnacentral:tRNA from 1 species
GUUCUCGUAGCUAAGUGGUAUAGCGUGGGAUUGCAAAUCCCGAGGUCGCGUGUUCGAUCCACGCCGGGAACU